rnacentral:rRNA from 1 species
UACGUAGGGCGCAAGCGUUGUCCGGAAUUAUUGGGCGUAAAGAGCUCGUAGGCGGUUUGUCGCGUCUGCUGUGAAAGCCCGGGGCUCAACCCCGGGUCUGCAGUGGGUACGGGCAGACUAGAGUGCAGUAGGGGAGACUGGAAUUCCUGGUGUAGCGGUGAAAUGCGCAGAUAUCAGGAGGAACACCGAUGGCGAAGGCAGGUCUCUGGGCUGUUACUGACGCUGAGGUGCGAAAGCGUGGGGAGCAAACAGG